rnacentral:rRNA from 1 species
UACGUAGGGGGCAAGCGUUGUCCGGAAUCAUUGGGCGUAAAGAGCGUGUAGGCGGCUUGGUAAGUCCGCUGUGAAAGUCCAGGGCUCAACCCUGGAAAGCCGGUGGAAACUGUCAAGCUUGAGUCCGGAAGAGGCGAGUGGAAUUCCUGGUGUAGCGGUGAAAUGCGCAGAUAUCAGGAGGAACACCAAUGGCGAAGGCAGCUCGCUGGGACGGUACUGACGCUGAGGCACGAAAGCGUGGGGAGCAAACAGG